rnacentral:rRNA from 1 species
AACGAACGCUGGCGGCAUGCCUAACACAUGCAAGUCGAACGAGCCCUUCGGGGCUAGUGGCGCACGGGUGCGUAACGCGUGGGAAUCUGCCCAAAGGUUCGGAAUAACUCGGGGAAACCCGUGCUAAUACCGGAUAAUGUCUUCGGACCAAAGAUUUAUCGCCUUUGGAUGAGCCCGCGUCGGAUUAGCUUGUUGGUGAGGUAAAAGCUCACCAAGGCGACGAUCCGUAGCUGGUCUGAGAGGAUGAUCAGCCACACUGGGACUGAGACACGGCCCAGACUCCUACGGGAGGCAGCAGUGGGGAAUAUUGGACAAUGGGCGAAAGCCUGAUCCAGCAAUGCCGCGUGAGUGAUGAAGGCCUUAGGGUUGUAGAGCUCUUUUGCCCGGGAUGAUAAUGACAGUACCGGGAGAAUAAGCUCCGGCUAACUCCGUGUCAGCAGCCGCGGUAAUACGGAGGGAGCUAGCGUUGUUCGGAAUUACUGGGCGUAAAGCGCGCGGU